UGUUUUCGGGGUUUAUCACUU
rnacentral:siRNA from 1 species